GACACCCUCUGGUUGAAGUCAUAUGAACUGAAAAAAGAACGAAUCACUUCCUUCAGUGAUUCGUUCACUCUCGUUCACUGACAAGAUUCGUUCGCUUGAACGAAUCGUUCACUCACGAGCCAACACUAUACUUCAAACUGGCAGGAGUGAAGAACAGGCAGCACAGUCACCUUAUGUGACCCACCAGACGAUGUUUCUCUUGGUGCUGAGCUUGGCGGCUAGCCUUACUCUGCUCUUAGGACAGGAUGUCACGCAGAAACCCGCCGACAUUGUGGAGGCGGUGGGCCACUCGGUCACGAUUGAGUGUACGCACCGCAUACCGGACUACGACAGGAUGCUGUGGUACCGGCAGCGCGGCAGGGACAUGCAGCUCAUCGGGUACAUGUACUACCAAAGUGUCACGAUGGAGCCCGGGCAGGAUGAUGUCCAGCUGACUGGGAGCGCCAAAUCUGGCGAAACGUGCAAGAUGGUCAUCUCCGCACUGCACUGGAACAGCAGUGCUGUUUAUUACUGUGCAGCUAGAUACCACGGUGGAGUGUCGUGUUGAAUCGUGAAGUCAAAAACCUUAUCACACAAUCAGAGUCCCCCUAAUACCACAAUGCACCUGGAUCAAAACAUUCCAAGCACUCAAGAGUAGGAGUGGGUGCUUCAUUCGAUGGUCGCUAACAUUCCACCAGACACGAACGAUAAGAUCAUGUUCGCUCUUUAUAGACGGCUUACGUAGUAAAGUUUUCAAAAUGAUGAGUAAAUCGAAAACAAUUGAAGAGAAGGGAAAACAUAGAGCACAUUUAUUAAAUACAGAUAAAUUGUAUUAGAUGAAAAAUUCAAAAUUCGUUUAAAAGACCGAAUCUUUUCAGUGAACGAGUGAACGAAUUCUUAUGUCAGUUCAUAUGACUUCAACCAGUAGGUGUCAGUAAUGCACGUUGAAGCGGGUGCCACCCGUAAAACAAAACGAAGAAGAAAAUGACGUGUGACAGUGAACGUGAUGCGUCUCCUGGCGUGAAUGUCGAUUUACGAUUCGCCAAAGAAAGAAAGUACCACUCACUGAAACACCACUUCUUUUAUGCACGUUUUCUCCAAGCUAACGGCUAACUUUAGUGCAUGAUGGGAUGCGCCGUUAUGCAACAACGGGGAGAAUAUGGCUCUCUUUGGGUAAUCUUUAUUUUACAACACUUAAAAUAACGUGUAUGCAUAUAUACGCCUAAAUAUUGUUGUCCAAUAUAUCUACUGCAAUUUCACAUUAGAUUGCUGGUUUGAAAUGUACUUUUAUUAUUAUUGUUUUAAUAAACAUUAAAACUUUUUAAAACUU